rnacentral:rRNA from 1 species
UACAGAGGUGCCGAGCGUUAGGCGGAAUCACUGGGCUUAAAGCGUGUGUAGGCGGACGUCUAAGUACCUUGUGAAAUCCCACGGCUCACCCGUGGAACUGCUGGGUAUACUGGGCGUCUUGAGCCACCUAGGGGCCAGCGGAACAAAUGGUGGAGCGGUGAAAUGCGUAGAUAUCAUUUGGAACGCCAACGGUGAAAAACAGCUGGCUGGGGGGUGUGCUGACGCUGAGACACGAAAAGCCCAGGGGGAGCGAACGGG